AAACUCAAAGGAAUUGACGGGGGCCCGCACAAGCGGCGGAGCAUGCGGAUUAAUUCGAUGCAACGCGAAGAACCUUACCAAGGCUUGACAUACACCGGAAGCGUGCAGAGAUGUGCGUGCCGUAAGGCCGGUGUACAGGUGGUGCAUGGUUGUCGUCAGCUCGUGUCGUGAGAUGUUGGGUUAAGUCCCGCAACGAGCGCAACCCUUGUCCUGUGUUGCCAGCGGGUUAUGCCGGGGACUCAUGGGAGACUGCCGGGGUCAACUCGGAGGAAG
rnacentral:rRNA from 1 species